rnacentral:rRNA from 1 species
UACGUAGGGUGCAAGCGUUAAUCGGAAUUACUGGGCGUAAAGGGCGCGUAGGCGGCACUGUUAGUCAGGCGUGAAAGUCCUGGGCUCAACCUGGGAACUGCGCUUGAUACGGCAGAGCUAGAGGAUGGAAGAGGCUCGCGGAAUUCCCAGUGUAGAGGUGAAAUUCGUAGAUAUGGGGAGGAACACCGGUGGCGAAGGCGACCAUCUGGACGGAUACUGACGCUGAGACGCGAAAGCGUGGGUAGCAAACAGG